rnacentral:rRNA from 1 species
GACGAACGCUGGCGGCGUGCCUAAUGCAUGCAAGUCGAGCGGGCUACGAUCUUCGGAUUGUAGCUUAGCGGCGAACGGGUGAGUAACACGUAGGUAAUCUACCCUUCAGAGGAGGACAACCUCAGGAAACUGAGGCUAAACCUUCAUACGUUCACUGGUAGGGAUACUGGUGAAGAAAGAGUUACCUUAAAGGUAGCUGCUGAAGGAUGAGUCUGCGGCCCAUCAGGUAGUUGGUGAGGUAACGGCUCACCAAGCCGAUGACGGGUAGCCGGCCUGAGAGGGUGACCGGCCCGAGGGGCACUGAGAUACGGGUCCCACUCCUACGGGAGGCAGCAGGCUAGAAAUUUGGGCAAUGGGGGAAACCCUGACCCAGUGACGCCGCGUGCAGGAAGGAGCCCUUCGGGGUGUAAACUGCUGUCGUGUAGGGAGAAGGGUACUAAGGUGAACAAUCUUAGUACUUGACGGUACUACAGGAGGAAGCCCAGGCUAACCUCGUGCCAGCAGCCGCGGUAAAGCUACGU